rnacentral:ribozyme from 1 species
UUUUUUUUCUUUUUUUUUUUUUCUUUUUUUUUUCUUUUUUUUUUUCAAAUCCAGAAGCGAGGGCUGAGUCU